CAGACCUCCUCCUCGCGUUCGCCAUCAGGACGGCCUCCACCGUCACGCUCGCCUCCGACGACAGCACCCACAGGUGCUUAAUUUAUCAGCUCUUUUCUAGUGGAAAGUUGACCAGGACAGAGGACAUUCACAACUUUGCUUCAAUCCCAAAGGUUAGCGAUUGCAUUCUUGUUUUUUUGGCUUGUUUUGGAGCUGUGACAUGAAUCCAUCACAUUCUCCACUGUAUGUACGUUUGUACAUUAUUUUGACAUUGUUUGUGUGACUCUUAAACCUUGGCGUCGACACCGGGGAGCGGUGGCAGUGCCAGGACGGUCCACAGCUGUUGCUGGUCCGGAUUGGACAGGAGAAUGAUGUUCUUGGCUCGGUUUUCCUUGAUCCACAGGCGCUGCUCGUCUGGAUUGGAUCGGAGGUUGACGUCCUUGGUCCGUUCUUCUUUUACACUGCCUUUUUCAUCAUCUUCUUGGCAGGAAGCUGAUUAUCCUUGCAAACAACUGUUCUCCGCUUAGGAAGUCAAAAUCGAGUACUAUGCUAUGCUAAAGAUUAGCUUGCACCAUUUCCAGGCAAAUGCACCAGGCUGAAGAAGCUCCAACACGUGAAGCACCACCCAGGAAGAAAACAGUAGCUAGUUAGCGUAGAGAGCAGGUUAUAUUUUUGAUAUCUGGGAUAUUAUCUGUACAUACGUGAUUUGAACUGUGGAGAUGUUGUAAUAGACUAUGGAUGUUAUCAAAAGAAUUUCAUAA